rnacentral:tRNA from 1 species
GUGAGCAUAGUUUAGCCAAAACGUUAGAUUGUGAUUCUAAAGAUAGAAGUUAGAACCUUCUUGCCCACC